AACGAACGCUGGCGGCAGGCCUAACACAUGCAAGUCGAGCGCCCCGCAAGGGGAGCGGCAGACGGGUGAGUAACGCGUGGGAAUCUACCCAUCUCUACGGAAUAACGCAUGGAAACGUGUGCUAAUACCGUAUACGUCCUUCGGGAGAAAGAUUUAUCGGAGAUGGAUGAGCCCGCGUUGGAUUAGCUAGUUGGUGGGGUAAAGGCCUACCAAGGCGACGAUCCAUAGCUGGUCUGAGAGGAUGAUCAGCCACACUGGGACUGAGACACGGCCCAGACUCCUACGGGAGGCAGCAGUGGGGAAUAUUGGACGAUGGGCGCAAGCCUGAUCCAGCCAUGCCGCGUGAGUGAUGAAGGCACUAGGGUUGUAAAGCUCUUUCACCGGUGAAGAUAAUGACGGUAACCGGAGAAGAAGCCCCGGCUAACUUCGUGCCAGCCGCCGCAGUAAGAC
rnacentral:rRNA from 1 species